CUCAUGCACGCGCUCCCAUGUUUGCCCCCUUAGGGUGUAGCCUUUUGAGGUUGUCCCUGGACUUAGGGAAACCCACCCUCCCCUCUGCCCUGCUCAUCUUUUCUCUAGUGGUCUGCAUUCACCUUUGGUUUCUUUCUCUGGGCUGGCUCUCUUUUUCUAAACACCCUAAACUUUGGCUGUUUCCACGCCCCUCUGACCUUCCCCUGUUUCUUUUCCCAUUAAUAAUGUUUACAUUACUGUUUUAGACGUUUCCUCCGUGGUGACUGUUUAAGACUUUUCCUCCAGCCUGAUAUCAAGUGGAUGCCGCUGCUUUCUGCCCUCUCAUUUAACCGUCUUGGUGUAGCUUUUGCCUGUUAGGUUCAGAGCUGGGCGUUUCCACAUUCUUGGUCUCUUGUUCAAGAAACUGAAAUAACAGUGCAUAGGUAUAGCAAGCUAACAACAAAACAAGGCCAUAGUACAAAUAAGAGAUAUACACAGCCGACAGCGGGCCACAUCAGUGAGCACACUCAAAGGCCCUUAUUAUUUGGAGGGUUCAUUCUAUGGUCUUCCAGAAAAGGAGACAUUUAGUUGCUAAAGGAUGUAGCGUCAGUGGUUCUCUGUUUUGAUUGACAGAGCAGAUUAUGUAAGCCAUUUGUCACUAUGCACGUCCUUUCCUAUAAUGUGUUUUAUUUUAAUCAUAUGCACACCCAACUUUGCAUAGUCAUAGGAUGGUUAAAUGGUGUGUUCUUCCUAAAAGUUCACUCAGAGCACAUCUUUCCUUAUUGCAUAUACACACAAGACUAGUUCAAACUGGAUUAGGAUUCCAUUCUUAUAUAGCUGGAAUCUAACUGAAUAGAAACUGUCAAUGUCUAACAGUCUUUACAGGAAGGAAAAAUCUAUUCCACUGUUUAGAGUGGGGUGUAGAUACAAUUCGGUGCAAAUGGAUGUUCAAGGUUGCGAACGGGUUUCUAGUGCAUCGUUAGGAGAGGCUGUUAUAUCUCCUGGAUCUCCAUUGGUGAAUGCUCAGAAAAUUUCUCAUGCUACAAGUCAAACUGAGCACUCCCUUUGCCUGUUCUGUCAAUCCUGGUGGCACUGUUGGAGGAAGGCCAUUUGGAAUUGAAGUUGUUGGGUUCUGAAGACAUAAACUGCAUACUUAUUGAGAAGAGGAAGAGUCAGGGAGAGGAUAGAUAUCCACUAGGUUUGUCCUAUCCAAUCAAGAUUAAGGAGACAAUAUUCAACAAUAUAAAAGACUGCUCAUGUUGUAUGCAGAACCUACGUUUUACAUUAAUUCUUUACCUCUAAGUCUCUGAACUGAGUCCAGUCGGGCUGGGCCGACUAAAAACUGACAAUCCAGUAAGGAGUGUGGCGGGACCUCGGGUGGCUCUUCGGGAGAGAAGAUUUCUUCCCAAGUGUUACAUACAGCUCUUGGAACAAAAGAUUCAGACGAAGAAAUAGUUCUCACAUACCUUCAAUUCCCUGAAUGGAUUUAUAUACAGUUCUGGGGAUGAUUCAGGGUUUGACAGGGUAUCUGAGACACAAGCCCUGAGAUCCAGGUAUCCAGAGGACUCCCUGCAGGAUGGAACUGGUGGCCUGAUGCUUUGUAACAUCCUGAUAUGUAUGUGAGACUGGUCACGUAUGGAAGGCUGCUAAACACAACUAAUAUACACAGGUAGAAAACUUCUCUUUGCAACAGAUGGAGACCAUUACCAAAAGCCACAACCAAUAUAAAUUCAGAGAAGAAACCAUAAUGUUGCAUUCAGUAUCAAUUGAUACAUCUACCACACAAAUCCUGCCCCCAAGACUCAGGGAUCAUUGCAGAAAUAUUGUAAAAACCAGAGGAACAAGGCAACGGCAACAUAAAGCCUGGAGAGAGACAGUCUCUACGUGGAAGGAGAAUGGACCCACACAGCUGAAGAUGUGUCUGCUCAUGGAAAGAAAAACUGGUUUCCAUUCUUAAGUCUGACAGCCCGUGGCUGCACGAAGGCAGCAUUUCUUACAGACCUGCCAGCACCUAGCCUGGAUUUGUGCAUAACACUCUUCACUGACUAAGGCUGAUGGCUUUGCAUCUGAAGCAGCAGGAACCAGCAAGAGAGAUGGGACCUGUGAACCAUGUCAGCCACCGCUGUGCACCUUCAGAAGAUAACAGACGUGCCUGGGAAACCUAGAUGGGCCUUGAGUGGAUGCCACUCGAAUGCAGAAGGCAGUUCAGUCAAGGACAGAGGCAGAGAUGCUUCUGAGGUGUCAAGAAUCCUGGAGACAGAGUUCUUCCAAGGCUGACCCCAUUAUGCCUACAAUCCCCCUAAGCUUUCUUCAGUAAUCCCCUGACCUCCUUUCUCUCAAGUAGGCAAUAAUUCCUCUUCUUUGGCUUCUGUGAGGAUUAAGUAAAUCAAGAAGCCAUCAGUCUC
rnacentral:lncRNA from 1 species